rnacentral:rRNA from 1 species
AGAGUUUGAUCAUGGCUCAGAACGAACGCUGGCGGCGUGCUUAACACAUGCAAAGUCGAACGCGAAAAGGGACUUCGGGUCCCGAGUAGAGUGGCGCACGGGUGRGUAACGCGUAAGUAAUCUACCCCUGUAUCUGGAAUAACCCACCGAAAGGUGAGCUAAUACCGGAUACGUUUAUCUUGAUGCGAAUGAUGAUAAAGAAAGGUGGCCUCUUCAUGAAAGCUACUGUACAGGGACGAGCUUGCGUACCAUUAGCUAGUUGGUAGGGUAAUGGCCUACCAAGGCGACGAUGGUUAGCUGGUCUGAGAGGAUGAUCAGCCACACUGGAACUGAGACACGGUCCAGACUCCUACGGGAGGCAGCAGUGGGGAAUUUUGCGCAAUGGGGGAAACCCUGACGCAGCAACGCCGCGUGAGUGAUGAAGGCUUUCGGGUCGUAAAGCUCUGUCAGAGGGGAAGAAAUGUAUGGAUGCUAAUACCAUCUUUACUUGACGGUACCCUCAAAGGAAGCAACCGGCUAACUCCGUGCCAGCAGCCGCGGUAAUA